AUGGUUGCUGUUGAAUUGUAUCUGCUGACUCAUUCAUUCAUGAAUGAAGCAAUAGAUAUAUAUUUUGCAUUAAUGGAUCCCUCAUGUGCAUGGACUGAAGGGGAGCUCCUUCUUUCUGUUGCCUCCAUUUGUAUGUACGUGUCUCAAUCAACUCUUACAAAAAAAAACUUCAAAUAUCCUUUCUACUUCUUUUGUAAGUAUAUAUAUUUCACAUCAUUGCCCAAGAUUUUGCAUUCAUAUGUAUAUGUUUAUAUGAAUAUUCAAUCUUAA